GAGGCCCCCCUCAACCCCAAGGCCAACCGGGAGAAGAUGACGCAGAUUAUGUUUGAGACCUUCAACACUCCGGCCAUGUACGUGGCUAUUCAGGCUGUGCUGUCCCUGUACGCCUCUGGUCGUACCACUGGUAUUGUUAUGGACUCUGGGGACGGUGUCACCCACACUGUGCCCAUCUACGAGGGUUAUGCUCUGCCCCACGCCAUCCUGCGCCUGGACUUGGCUGGCCGUGACCUGACAGACUACCUCAUGAAGAUCCUGACAGAAAGGGGCUACAGCUUCACCACCACAGCCGAAAGGGAAAUUGUCCGUGACAUAAAGGAAAAGCUGUGCUACGUCGCCCUGGAUUUCGAGCAGGAGAUGGCCACCGCUGCCUCUUCCUCCUCCCUGGAGAAGAGCUACGAGCUGCCUGACGGGCAGGUCAUCACCAUCGGCAACGAAGGUGUCCAGAAGCCCUCUUCCAGCCCUCCUUCCUGGGCAUGGAGUCCUGCGGCAUUCACGAGACCACUUUCAACUCCAUCAUGAAGUGUGACGUGGACAUCAGGAAGGACCUGUACGCCAACACCGUCUUGUCUGGUGGCACCACCAUGUACCCCGGCAUCGCCGACAGGAUGCAGAAGGAGAUCACAGCGCUGGCGCCCAGCACGAUGAAGAUCAAGAUCAUCGCUCCCCCUGAGCGCAAAUACUCGGUCUGGAUCG